rnacentral:rRNA from 2 species
UACGUAGGGUGCGAGCGUUAAUCGGAAUUACUGGGCGUAAAGCGUGCGCAGGCGGUUUUGUAAGACAGAGGUGAAAUCCCCGGGCUCAACCUGGGAACUGCCUUUGUGACUGCAAGGCUAGAGUACGGCAGAGGGGGAUGGAAUUCCGCGUGUAGCAGUGAAAUGCGUAGAUAUGCGGAGGAACACCGAUGGCGAAGGCAAUCCCCUGGGCCUGUACUGACGCUCAUGCACGAAAGCGUGGGGAGCAAACAGG